rnacentral:tRNA from 1 species
UCCCUGGUGGUCCACUGGCUAAGACUCUGUGCUUUCAAUGCAGGGGUCCUGGGUUCCAUCCCUGGUUAGGGAA